GCACAGUGGUGCAAUGGGUAGCACUGUUGCCUCACAGCAAGAAAAGUCCUGGGUUUGAAUCCUGGCAUGGGCC
rnacentral:tRNA from 1 species